rnacentral:misc_RNA from 1 species
UACGAGGGGUCCAAGCGUUGUUCGGAAUUACUGGGCGUAAAGCGGGUGUAGGUGGCUAGGUAAGUUGGAUGUGAAAGCCCAGGGCUCAACCUUGGAAGUGCAUCCAAAACUGCUUAGCUUGAGUACUAGAGAGGGAAGUGGAAUUCCUGGUGUAGCGGUGAAAUGCGUAGAUAUCAGGAGGAACAUCGGUGGCGAAGGCGGCUUCCUGGCUAAGUACUGACACUCAGACCCGAAAGCGUGGGUAGCAAACAGG